rnacentral:ncRNA from 1 species
AUUCUGGUUGAUCCUGCCAGUAGUUAUAUGCUUGUCUCAAAGAUUAAGCCAUGCAUGUCUAAGUACACACGAAUUAAAAGUGAAACCGCAAAAGGCUCAUUAUAUCAGUUAUGGUUCCUUAGAUCGUUAACAGUUACUUGGAUAACUGUGGUAAUUCUAGAGCUAAUACAUGCAAUUAAAACAUGAACCUUAUGGGACAUGUGCUUUUAUUAGGCUAAAACCAAGCGAUCGCAAGAUCGUUAUAUUGGUUGAACUCUAGAUAACAUGCAGAUCGUAUGGUCUUGUACCGACGACAGAUCUUUCAAAUGUCUGCCCUAUCAACUUUCGAUGGUAGUAUCUAGGACUACCAUGGUUGCAACGGGUAACGGGGAAUCAGGGUUCGAUUCCGGAGAGGGAGCCUGAGAAACGGCUACCACAUCUAAGGAAGGCAGCAGGCGCGUAAAUUACCCACUCCCAGCUCGGGGAGGUAGUGACGAAAAAUAACAAUACAGGACUCAUAUCCGAGGCCCUGUAAUUGGAAUGAGUACACUUUAAAUCCUUUAACAAGGACCAAUUGGAGGGCAAGUCUGGUGCCAGCAGCCGCGGUAAUUCCAGCUCCAAUAGCGUAUAUUAAAGUUGUUGCGGUUAAAACGUUCGUAGUUGAACUUGUGCUUCAUACGGGUAGUACAACUUACAAUUGUGGUUAGUACUAUACCUUUAUGUAUGUAAGCGUAUUACCGGUGGAGUUCUUAUAUGUGAUUAAAUACUUGUAUUUUUUCAUAUGUUCCUCCUAUUUAAAAACCUGCACUAGUGCUCUUAAACGAGUGUUAUUGUGGGCCGGUACUAUUACUUUGAACAAAUUAGAGUGCUUAAAGCAGGCUUCAAAUGCCUGAAUAUUCUGUGCAUGGGAUAAUGAAAUAAGACCUCUGUUCUGCUUUCAUUGGUUUUCAGAUCAAGAGGUAAUGAUUAAUAGAAGCAGUUUGGGGGCAUUAGUAUUACGACGCGAGAGGUGAAAUUCUUGGACCGUCGUAAGACUAACUUAAGCGAAAGCAUUUGCCAAAGAUGUUUUCAUUAAUCAAGAACGAAAGUUAGAGGUUCGAAGGCGAUCAGAUACCGCCCUAGUUCUAACCAUAAACGAUGCCAGCUAGCAAUUGGGUGUAGCUACUUUUAUGGCUCUCUCAGUCGCUUCCCGGGAAACCAAAGCUUUUGGGCUCCGGGGGAAGUAUGGUUGCAAAGCUGAAACUUA